rnacentral:misc_RNA from 1 species
GAUGAAGAACGCAGCGAAAUGCGAUAAGUAAUGUGAAUUGCAGAAUUCAGUGAAUCAUCGAAUCUUUGAACGCACAUUGCGCCCGCCAGUAUUCUGGCGGGCAUGCCUGUUCGAGCGUCAUUUCAACCAUCAAGCCCCAGGCUUGUGUUGGGGACCUGCGGCUGCCGCAGGCCCUGAAAACCAGUGGCGGGCUCGCUGUCACACCGGGCGUAGUAGAUUUUAUCUCGCUCAGGGCGUGCUGCGGGUUCCGGCCGUUAAAAAGCCUUUUUUACCCAAGGUUGACCUCGGAUCAGGUAGGAAGACCCGCUGAACUUAAGCAUAUCAAUAACGGAGGA